UACAGAGGGUGCGAGCGUUGUUCGGAAUUAUUGGGCGUAAAGAGCUCGUAGGCGGACUGUCACGUCUGCUGUGAAAAGCUGGGGCUUAACCCUGGCCUUGCAGUGGAUACGGGCAGACUAGAGGUAGGUAGGGGAGAAUGGAAUUCCCGGUGUAGCGGUGAAAUGCGCAGAUAUCGGGAGGAACACCGGUGGCGAAGGCGGUUCUCUGGGCCUUACCUGACGCUGAGGAGCGAAAGCGUGGGGAGCGAACAGG
rnacentral:rRNA from 1 species